UCCAGCUCUUCGCCGGCAGUUCCCCAAGAGUGCCCGGCAUUACCCGAUGGCAACAUAGGGUGAGGGUUGUGCUCGUUGCGGGACUUAACCCAACACCUCACGGCACGAGCUGACGACAGCCAUGCAGCACCUGUGCUGGUGUUCCGAAGAAGGGCCCCUGUUUCCAGAAGCUUUCAAGUACAUGUCAAACCUAGGUAAGGUUCUUCGCGUUGCUUCGAAUUAAACCACAUGCUCCGCUGCUUGUGCGGGUCCCCGUCAAUUCCUUUGAGUUUUAGCCUUGCGGCCGUACUCCCCAGGCGGGGCACUUAAUGCGUUAGCUCCGGCACGGGAGGAGUCGACACCUCCCACACCUAGUGCCCAUCGUUUACGGCGUGGACUAC
rnacentral:misc_RNA from 1 species